GAAAAACUAAAAUACUAGUUUUUCAGUUCUCUAUUUGAAAAACUGACACACGUGAAUACAAACUCUGUUUUCUUUAUUUCUUUGUAACUUUUUGAGAAAACAACUCCAGUUUUUUACAGGUGAGCAUGCCCUAAAUUCUGUUACUGUAUUUUGUUUUCGGCUAGUAAUAUUUUUCAAGCCUUCUAAAGGUUGCUUUUUUGGCCUCCCUUGAAUAUUUCAAACUAAUUGCAGAUUUCAUUGCUCAACUUUGUAAUUUCCAGCGAAAACUGAUCUAUUCAAGCCCAUUGCAUAUUUUAUCUAAUCAUUUGUUGUGCACAUUUAUAUAUUAGAAGGUUAAAUUUGAUGAAUAUUCAAUUUUAAUUAUUUUGUGUUCAGACAAAAAAAAAUUUUUUUUGAUGCAGCAGAAACAAUAAUUUUAAAUUAAAGAUUUUGGUUAAGUCCAACAGAGUAAAAAAUGUGAGGUCUUCUAAGUUUCAAGUGUAGAUUUCAAAGGAGCUGGGGUGUGCCUACACAGCUACACCUGAGAAUAAAUAGAAAAGGCAAAUAACAAAAGGUAAAUGUGCCUAGCAUCAUUCCAGUACUCCUAGGGAUCACUUGUCCCAGAUUCUCAGGUAUUAUACCUCAGAAGUUUUAUGCAUCUACAUAAGUGACGCUGAUGAGAUUGCUUGGUGAAGAUUUUCUUUUAUCUGGAGUGGGAGAUUGUACAGGGGGCAUUUAGUUAGGUAGCAGCAGGAGGUGGUUUGAUUGGAUUGGAAUGUUGCUAAUUUUGCUUUUAAUGUCAAAGAACUUUGGAAUCAUAUUUUUUCUGUUUCUUAUUUCUCAUUAAUCUGACUAUAAAUGUGAUUUGUAACUUAAAAUAUGUUUUGGCAUCAUUUUUCAGAUAUAUUUGACGUUCACCUGACCCUGGACCUGAAUUCAUAGAAAAACCAGAAAGCUUACUUGGUGAACAUUGGGUAUGACCAUCCAAAAUCAACAAUAGCCCACAAAUCUCAAAGUGCCCACAAGUUUCAAAGUAAUGUCUAACAGUCAACUAGAUGAGAUGAUUUCUAUGUUAAAGAAAUAACUGUUCCUGAUGUUCUGCUGACCUAAAAUCGAGCUUAGCUCCUUUAUGAGCGUUGUUGGCUCAUUAUUUCUAACUGAAAAUGAAAUUAUGUGCGCUAUAGUCUGCUUUUGUAUUGUAUACAGAGCUACAGAUACAGAUUUGUUCUUAAUGCUGGUGAUCUUCGCUACUGUUUGUGAUAUUUUCGAGCUGGCACCAAUGAUCUUCCUUGUAUCGUGGUCAACAGGAAAACCCGUCACAUUACUGAAUGUGGUUACAAGGCCGCUGCCUUCAUCCUAUGCUGAGCUUGAAGUAUUUGUUUUCUUCCAAAGUUUCUAACCUCAACUACCUGGUAGGUCUUCUUCUGUCCGUGUGAAAGGCACAACUUUAGCAAUUAGGAGGUCUCUGUGUGAAGCCUGGGAUGAGCCGGCUGAUUGUCGUCUUGCACUGUUCAUGUUAACUACAAAACUUGAUAUAGAAGCUGGUCUUUUAGUGUUUUAUAUUGGAUGCCAUGAAUCUUGUAGAUUUUUAAAUUAACGUGCUAUAAAUUUGUUUGAGAAUAUGAUUCAAAACAAUUUUGUAUGAUCAGCAAUUACAUGAACUCAGCCUAGAAACUUUCUACUCUUUUCCAAUUUAUAUGGUUAUAAGUACAGGAAUAGAAUGCAUAAAACGAAAAUUAAAGAAAUGUGCUCUGAAUACAAUUGCUGGAACCCGUAUGAUUGUUUGCUCUUCUUAGUUCACAAUUUAACGAACCUGACACUUGCUUAUCAAAAUAAUAACUGAUUCACUCUUAAAGAUGAUCGUCAAGUACACAUUAUGAACAUCUUCCUGGUGUUGUCAUUCACAUUAUGUACUCUUGCUUAGCUAUUGUGUUAUUAUCAUUUGGAUGUCAAUUUUCAUUUUACCAUCAAAACAAUGCUUUAUAUUUCUUCGCAGAAGACAAGACCAGAUGGUCAAACUUACAUAUAGCUUGAGAAUAAACAAGCAAAUGGAUUGGUGCAUCUAUCUAAAUCAUGCUUUUUGAACUGACAACUCAAGGAUGAAUUCCCUGAUUUCUUCAUUGGCUCUAUCCAGAGCCGUCCGUCCAUCUGCAUCCUUGAGAGAAUAAUUUGCUCCAGCUCUUAAUAACUCUUCAAUUUUUGGCUUGUCACCUUCUGAAGCAGCCAACAUUAAUAAGAUGUCUAUUGGAUGUAUAUUUUGACUUAGGAGAGCCUCCAUCUUGUCAUAUGAACCUUCAACAGCAAGCAUCCCCAUGUAGUUAAAGUACUGCAAAUUAUGAAAUUUUUUCAGUCUAGACAGCAUUUUGACCAUCGAUUACCCCUGUCAAAUGCUUGGAAUCUUUGUUUCACCUCGAAAUAACAAUGUGAUGAAUGUUGUCUCUAGGUAAUCUAGUGUGCAUUUCAGAACUAUCAUUAGCACUCGAUUCAUAAAUGUUAAGAGAGUGUCAUAUGUUCCGCUUGGAACCCCAGCCCUGAUUAGCUUUUUCAUGUCAUCUAUGAAAAUGCAACUUGACAAAGCUAAAGGCUUUGCUCCCAGAUAUGCUAACGAAAUUAUGUUAUUGGGAGCACAUUGAUUGUGCCAUAACCCCAGUUGUGCUUCAUGUAUUAUUCACAACGUCUUGAUCUUGAUUUGCCGAUGAAAGGUUCUCAGGGGCACUAAUCAACCCUAUUAAGCUUCUAAUUAUUCAUCUGCUCAAAUCAGUGCUUCUGAUGAGCCAAAGUUCAAAACAAGAAUAUGAACUUCGUUUUCCAACAAAGUUCUAAGCGCAAAGCAAUGACGAUGAGUGAGCAGUUAGCAUUUUAUGCAAGUUUUAAUCAAUAUUAGAAGUAACAACGUCUAAGCCAGUUUUCAGUGAAGCCGUACCUUUUGGACAAUAUUCAUGUUUGGGAUUGGGAGACCAUAAAAGCAAUAUUUAGAAAAAGGGUAGAGAACAAUCCCCCAUCCUUAAUCCUGAGACCCCUAAGAUUCAUGUCUAGGCAAUUGAAAACUAAAAGGAAUCCACCAUAAGGUGACAAAGAGUUGAAGAAUAUGGAAUAUCAGAAAGCUUUUCCAGUCCCAAAAUACAAUCAACAAACAAGCAAACCCCAAUUGUAAAAUUAGAGCAAAAGCAUGAAAUUUACACAUUCAGAUAGAGAGAGAGAGAGAGA
rnacentral:misc_RNA from 1 species